rnacentral:rRNA from 1 species
AAAUUGAAGAGUUUGAUCAUGGCUCAGAUUGAACGCUGGCGGCAGGCCUAACACAUGCAAGUCGAACGGUAACAGGAAGCAGCUUGCUGCUUUGCUGACGAGUGGCGGACGGGUGAGUAAUGUCUGGGAAACUGCCUGAUGGAGGGGGAUAACUACUGGAAACGGUGGCUAAUACCGCAUAACGUCGCAAGACCAAAGAGGGGGACCUUCGGGCCUCUUGCCAUCAGAUGUGCCCAGAUGGGAUUAGCUAGUUGGUGAGGUAACGGCUCACCAAGGCGACGAUCCCUAGCUGGUCUGAGAGGAUGACCAGCCACACUGGAACUGAGACACGGUCCAGACUCCUACGGGAGGCAGCAGUGGGGAAUAUUGCACAAUGGGCGCAAGCCUGAUGCAGCCAUGCCGCGUGUAUGAAGAAGGCCUUCGGGUUGUAAAGUACUUUCAGCGGGGAGGAAGGUGUUGUGGUUAAUAACCGCAGCAAUUGACGUUACCCGCAGAAGAAGCACCGGCUAACUCCGUGCCAGCAGCCGCGGUAAUACGGAGGGUGCAAGCGUUAAUCGGAAUUACUGGGCGUAAAGCGCACGCAGGCGGUCUGUCAAGUCGGAUGUGAAAUCCCCGGGCUCAACCUGGGAACUGCAUUCGAAACUGGCAGGCUUGAGUCUUGUAGAGGGGGGUAGAAUUCCAGGUGUAGCGGUGAAAUGCGUAGAGAUCUGGAGGAAUACCGGUGGCGAAGGCGGCCCCCUGGACAAAGACUGACGCUCAGGUGCGAAAGCGUGGGGAGCAAACAGGAUUAGAUACCCUGGUAGUCCACGCCGUAAACGAUGUCUACUUGGAGGUUGUGCCCUUGAGGCGUGGCUUCCGGAGCUAACGCGUUAAGUAGACCGCCUGGGGAGUACGGCCGCAAGGUUAAAACUCAAAUGAAUUGACGGGGGCCCGCACAAGCGGUGGAGCAUGUGGUUUAAUUCGAUGCAACGCGAAGAACCUUACCUGGUCUUGACAUCCACAGAAGAAUCCAGAGAUGGAUUUGUGCCUUCGGGAACUGUGAGACAGGUGCUGCAUGGCUGUCGUCAGCUCGUGUUGUGAAAUGUUGGGUUAAGUCCCGCAACGAGCGCAACCCUUAUCCUUUGUUGCCAGCGGUCCGGCCGGGAACUCAAAGGAGACUGCCAGUGAUAAACUGGAGGAAGGUGGGGAUGACGUCAAGUCAUCAUGGCCCUUACGACCAGGGCUACACACGUGCUACAAUGGCGCAUACAAAGAGAAGCGACCUCGCGAGAGCAAGCGGACCUCAUAAAGUGCGUCGUAGUCCGGAUUGGAGUCUGCAACUCGACUCCAUGAAGUCGGAAUCGCUAGUAAUCGUGGAUCAGAAUGCCACGGUGAAUACGUUCCCGGGCCUUGUACACACCGCCCGUCACACCAUGGGAGUGGGUUGCAAAAGAAGUAGGUAGCUUAACCUUCGGGAGGGCGCUUACCACUUUGUGAUUCAUGACUGGGGUGAAGUCGUAACAAGGUAACCGUAGGGGAACCUGCGGUUGGAUCACCUCCUUACCU